CCUCUACUCUGCAAAAACAAAAGCUUAUUUAUUUGAGGAAGUCACAUGUUUUCCAUAAAAAUGAACUUACGCAUGAAAAAGACAACUUCCAAAAAAUCAUCCUUCUAUAAUCUUGGCUUUGUUUUUUGUAUAUGUUGGUUGUUUUAAAAUUUUUCUUUGAAAGUCACACACUUAGAAGUCUUAUGAAAAUCAAAAUGUCAACAUUGUCACAUUGAUCAUCUUACAGUUCUCGUGAUUGCCAUUAACAACAGUGUUUAUGAAGUACACAACUGCCCACAGUUUUCAAUGGAGCGCAAUCUCUGGUGACUUUUUUCCAAAUAAAGUGUUGCCACAUACACUCUAUUUAGUUCUCGAGAUAAUACUUUGAGGUAUUCCUCUCUUACAGGUAAAGCAAGUAGUGUUUGACUUCAAGGUGUUAGUUUCCAAACAUCACCGAGUUCUUUGUAUGAUCGAAGGGCCUGACUGCUCAUCUGCUAUGCCUGACAGGUUUACUGUUAUUGAUGUCAGAAGCUCUUCCUCUAAGGGAUCCUCUUGGGUAAGGUAGUGUCACCAAGGCAUGACUUUAACAUUCUACACAAAUUAUGGUCACUAUAGAGAUAACUAUGGGCUUCUCCUGUGGGGGUGAAAUCUGUACACAUCUCUGAAUCUACCUGAGAAAAAAUGGGGCAAUCGGAGUACUCUCACAAAAAUACUCUGAACAAUGACAUUACUGAUACUGGUCUUGGGCUUAGUCUGACUGUUGAACGAUCCAGCAACAGUGAUUCUAAACCUGUCGAAACUGUCAUCAACUCCAUUCUUGCCCAUCUUUCUGCAAUGCCUUUUCCCAACUCUCCACCUCUGCUCCAGCCCACCGCCAAGUCAAGCUGCCUCUCCGCUGCUGAGUUAAUCUGA
rnacentral:lncRNA from 1 species